rnacentral:rRNA from 1 species
AGCGGCGGAUGGGUGAGUAACACGUGGGGAACCCGCCCCUAAGUCUGGGAUACCAUUUGGAAACAGGUGCUAAUACCGGAUAAUAAAGCAGAUCGCAUGAUCAGCUUUUGAAAGGCGGCGUAAGCUGUCGCUAAGGGAUGGCCCCGCGGUGCAUUAGCUAGUUGGUAAGGUAACGGCUUACCAAGGCGACGAUGCAUAGCCGAGUUGAGAGACUGAUCGGCCACAUUGGGACUGAGACACGGCCCAAACUCCUACGGGAGGCAGCAGUAGGGAAUCCUCCACAAUGGACGCAAGUCUGAUGGAGCAACGCCGCGUGAGUGAAGAAGGUUUUCGGAUCGUAAAGCUCUGUUGUUGGUGAAGAAGGAUAGAGGUAGUAACUGGCCUUUAUUUGACGGUAAUCAGCCAGAAAGUCACGGCUAACUACGUGCCAGCAGCCGCGGUAAUACGUAGGUGGCAAGCGUUGUCCGGAUUUAUUGGGCGUAAAGCGAGCGCAGGCGGAAAAAUAAGUCUAAUGUGAAAGCCCUCGGCUUAACCGAGGAACUGCAUCGGAAACUGUUUUUCUUGAGUGCAGAAGAGGAGAGUGGAACUCCAUGUGUAGCGGUGGAAUGCGUAGAUAUAUGGAAGAACACCAGUGGCGAAGGCGGCUCUCUGGUCUGCAACUGACGCUGAGGCUCGAAAGCAUGGGUAGCGAACAGGAUUAGAUACCCUGGUAGUCCAUGCCGUAAACGAUGAGUGCCAAGUGU